rnacentral:rRNA from 1 species
AGAGUUUGAUCCUGGCUCAGGACGAACGCUGGCGGCGUGCUUUACACAUGCAAGUCGAACGGUGAACCGGUGCUUGCACCGGGGAUCAGUGGCGAACGGGUGAGUAACACGUGAGCAAUCUGCCCCUAACUCUGGGAUAACUGCGGGAAACCGCAGCUAAUACCGGAUACGACCCAGGGAGGCAUCUUCACUGGGUGGAAAGUUUUUCGGUUAGGGAUGAGCUCGCGGCCUAUCAGCUUGUUGGUGGGGUAAUGGCCUACCAAGGCGACGACGGGUAGCCGGCCUGAGAGGGCGACCGGCCACACUGGGACUGAGACACGGCCCAGACUCCUACGGGAGGCAGCAGUGGGGAAUAUUGCACAAUGGGCGAAAGCCUGAUGCAGCGACGCCGCGUGAGGGACGAAGGCCUUCGGGUUGUAAACCUCUUUCAGCAGGGAAGAAGCGAAAGUGACGGUACCUGCAGAAGAAGCACCGGCUAACUACGUGCCAGCAGCCGCGGUAAUACGUAGGGUGCAAGCGUUGUCCGGAAUUAUUGGGCGUAAAGAGCUCGUAGGCGGUUUGUCGCGUCUGCUGUGAAAACUCAGGGCUUAACCCUGAGCCUGCAGUGGGUACGGGCAGACUAGAGUGUGGUAGGGGAGAUCGGAAUUCCUGGUGUAGCGGUGGAAUGCGCGAUAUCAGGAGGAACACCGGUGGCGAAGGCGGAUCUCUGGGCCAUAACUGACGCUGAGGAGCGAAAGCAUGGGGAGCGAACAGGAUUAGAUACCCUAGUAGUCC